GUUUUCGUAGUGUAGUGGUUAUCACGUUUGCCUCACACGCGAAAGGCCCCCUUUUCGAACCCGGGCGAAAACA
rnacentral:tRNA from 1 species